UGGGGAAUAUUGCACAAUGGGGGAAACCCUGAUGCAGCGACGCCGCGUGAGCGAAGAAGUAUUUCGGUAUGUAAAGCUCUAUCAGCAGGGAAGAAGAAUGACGGUACCUGACUAAGAAGCACCGGCUAAAUACGUGCCAGCAGCCGCGGUAAUACGUAUGGUGCAAGCGUUAUCCGGAUUUACUGGGUGUAAAGGGAGCGCAGGCGGUGCGGCAAGUCUGAUGUGAAAGCCCGGGGCUCAACCCCGGUACUGCAUUGGAAACUGUCGUACUAGAGUGUCGGAGGGGUAAGUGGAAUUCCUAGUGUAGCGGUGAAAUGCGUAGAUAUUAGGAGGAACACCAGUGGCGAAGGCGGCUUACUGGACGAUCACUGACGCUGAGGCUCGAAAGCGUGGGGAGCAAACAGGAUUAGAUACCCUGGUAGU
rnacentral:rRNA from 1 species